UAGCAACCGGUUCCCUUUUUAACUAUGAAUGUAUGUUAAUGUGUUUGUAUGUAUUGUAGUGUGGAUCCAGGUGUCAAGGGGAAAAAUAAGGUAUCCUGGAUUCCCUGAGUGGAGGUAAAUAAGAGGUUAUCCCCCUUCCUGUAACUGAAGAAUCGGCCUGGCACGGGGAGCACAUGGAGAGGGAUAAGGCUAGGCUGAGCGUGGGGAUCAGUCCUUAAGGGAAACGAGAGGGGUGGUUGAGGCCAGAGGAGGAUGCCUAAACCAAUAGGCCACUUCCCAGGUGCUGACCCCGUGAAAUGAGAAAAUGAAGGGUGGAUUUCAACUGAGACAAGACUGAUUAUCAGGAUGGGUGCCCCGCCCCUGACUGAAGACAUUUAAACAAUUUUGUAUUUUAUUUUAAUGUACAGUAUUUUUAUAAGAUGUUGCAGACAGUAGUGUGUGUGCAAGGGUGCAUAGUGAUGUGUACUGUGAUUUAGUUAAAGUUAACUUUUGAAGUUUUGUCUUUUUUUAGGGUACUGGAUGGAGAAGCGUUGGGUGCUGGUAAUGGGUUUGGCACUAUUUGUUUGAACUUUUUUUAUUUUAAGAAAGGUGAGGACACGUUUAGGAAAAGUGGGCAAGGGUGUAACAUGGUUAAUAAUGCCCCUAUUGUCUUUCACGUAUUUAUUUGUUAUUUGUAUGUUAUUUUUAUAAUUUUCCAUUUUGAUUAAUCAGUGCACAUUUUAUAUAUUGAUUUAACACUUGGUAAUUGAUUAAUCACGUUUUAGUAGCUUCUCCACCCCGUUCAUCUUUUAUGCCUUAUUGGGUAUUGACUAAUUUAAUAAUUGAUAGUUUUACACACCUUAAUAUAAAUCGGACGUCUCUUGCAAACUGGAUGGCCACCCUGGGUGUUUGUGUCUGUAUGUCCGUCUUUCAUUGUGGUUUUGUUUGUGCAGGAGUGGAAACACGUAGUAUUUGGAACGGAGAGUAACAGAGGGAAGUGAAAUGGACUUUCCUGACAAUAAGUAUUCGGCUGGCAUACAGUAUGCCGGU